ACGAGCCUUGAAGUGGUUUCCGCAGAGGUAGUACGGCAGCAUUUCGGAAACGGCAGGAGAAGACUUAAUGCCAGCGUCUACGAUGUAACGAAGGAUAAGGAUUAAAAGCAUAAGCGAGCCGAAACUCUUUCUACGGAACCAACCACUUUAAAAUAUUCUUCGCUAACGAGCGAUGGAAGGAAGACGCGACCGAGCCCGCUCAGUACCAGACAACAUGCAGAGGAUUCAAAGAAUGCAGCCGAGAAACACGAACAGGAAACGAAAAUGGGUGCUGGUUACCAUCCUGGUUGGCGUUUUUCUCGUUGGUUUCGUCGGUUUCGCGUUCUUUUUGGCCCUUCAACGCGUGGACGCCCUGCGACAGACUACUGCAGAACUGGAGCGCACCCGCAGCGAACUGAAGGAACCGGCAAGAACCCUGGACAGCAAGAACCCUGCUGCGGAACUGUAGCAGACUACCAGCAACCAUGAGCGAGCUCGAACUGGAGCGGGCUACUGUAGCGAACUGCUUGCAUAUGCUUACCUCGUCCCGAUAAUAGCCACCGUUUUGUGCUUACUGAUCAUUACUCUGGUGGUAGUGCGCUCACGAGAGAGGCUAAUGUUGAUGAUGACUAUAAGAACCAUUAUGACGGUUAUCAUUAUGAUGAUGAGGACUAUACGUUGAUGACGAGGAGGAGGAGGAAAUCGAUGAUUAUGACGCUGAUGACGAUGCACAUGUCCAGAGGCCGGAUGCGCAGGGACUAAAAGCAAAACAGUUUUAGGCGCCUUAAGAGGGCACUGAAAACUCUCUGCUAGGCAUUUAUAGCCAUCAUUACAGGAGUGUUCUUUAAACUCAAUUGAAUCGAAGGAAAAGGAUGAGAGACUGUGCAAGCCUGGCGCCGGUUUAGAGCUGUUCCAGGCAACACCUAUAGGACAAUUUCCGAAGCAAUAGCAAACGAGCAGCCUCUCCUCAUUUCUAUCUAUCAUCUCAAGUUCAGAAUUGUGCAUUGCUGACAGCGAGAGCUCAACGGCCACUGAUUGUACCGGAGCGUGUCUUGUACAUGGGAAGGUUCGAACAUGAUAACUUUCUGGGAGAAUCGUAAUGUGCACUGUGGUCAAAACGAAUGACGCUUUUUUUUACCAAGCCGUGUUCAGUGCUUUAUCUGUGUCGUCCCUUAUCGUCCCACCUGCACUGAGGGUUUUAUCGCUUUUAGUACGCUUCACCCAACCAGGCCAGUCUUUAACCUCAUUGAACUUUACCAAGCUCUUCGCAAAUACUAUGAGUUCCGCGAGCGAUACAUGUGACAUGUAUAACGUUUAUGGAAGAACGCUUUCAUUCCGUGAAUAUUGUAAAAGAAGACAAUGACGAUACAGCUAAAAAAUGUCGAUGUUCUCACUAACAUCAGACAAUGCCUGCUUAGUGUAAUUGUAAAAUUCGAUAUAUCGAUAAUACGAGAAAAAAAAAUGUAAACCUGUUCACCCGAGAGAAAAAAUAAAUGAAUAAAUAAAACGAAAACGAAGCAAAAAGAAAGGUUAGGAAGCAAGUGAGCUGGUGAUAGUGAUGCAUAUUGAAAACCGCGAGACAAUAUGAACACGAGAGCUGUGUGUUGUCUUUUUGUGUGUGUGUGUGUGUGUGUGUGUGUGUGUGUGUGUGUGUUCCUAGUUUUCAAUAUGUAAAAGUAAAAAGUCGACGUCGCCAUUCAAUUGAGCUGUUCAGUGUCAUCUAUGUUCGCCUGAGAGAACAAGAAGAAGAGCUCUACCACCUU